GAUGAAGAACGUAGUGAAAUGCGAUAAGUAAUGCGAAUUGCAGAAUUCAGUGAAUCAUCGAAUCUUUGAACGCACAUUGCGCCCGCCAGUAUUCUGGCGGGCAUGCCUGUCUGAGCGUCAUUUCAACCCUCAUGCCCCUAGGGCGUGGUGUUGGGGAUCGGCCAAAGCCCGCGAGGGACGGCCGGCCCCUAAAUCUAGUGGCGGACCCGUCGUGGCCUCCUCUGCGAAGUAGUGAUAUUCCGCAUCGGAGAGCGACGAGCCCCUGCCGUUAAACCCCCAACUUUCCAAGGUUGACCUCAGAUCAGGUAGGAAUACCCGCUGAACUUAAGCAUAUCAAUAAGCGGAGGA
rnacentral:misc_RNA from 1 species